rnacentral:tRNA from 1 species
GCCUUCGUAGAGUAACGGUUGCACAUUCGGCGCGUAUUCGACAGGUCCAGGUUCGAGUCCCGGCGAGGGCA